rnacentral:rRNA from 1 species
GACGAACGCUGGCGGCGUGCUUAACACAUGCAAGUCGAACGGAAAGGCCCUGCUUUUGUGGGGUGCUCGAGUGGCGAGCGGGGGAGUAACACGUGAGUAACACGCCCUUGACUUUGGGAUAACUUCAGGAAACUGGGGCGAAUACCGGAUAGGAGCUCCUGCUGCAUGGUGGGGGUUGGAAAGUUUCGGCGGUGGUGGAUGUUCUCGCGGCUUAUCAGCUUGAUGGUGGGGUAGGGGCGGACAAAGGCUUUGACGGGUAGCCGGCAUGAGAGGGUGAACGGCCACAAUGGUACUGAGAGACGGCGCAGAAUGCUACGGGAGGCAGCAGUGGAGAAUAUUGCACAACGGGCGGACGCCUGAUGCAGCAACGCUGCGUGCGGGAUGACGGCCUACGGGUUAUAAACAGCUUUGGCAUGUGACGAAGCGUGAGUGACGGUAAUGGGUCAGGAAGCACCGGCUAACUACGUG